CUCGUAGGCGGUUCAGUAAGUUGGGUGUGAAAGCUCCGGGCUCAACCCGGAGAGGCCACUCAAUACUGCUGUGACUAGAGUCCAGUAGAGGAGCGUGGAACUCCUGGUGUAGCGGUGAAAUGCGCAGAUAUCAGGAAGAACACCGGCAGCGAAGGCGGCGCUCUGGGCUGGUACUGACGCUGAGGAGCGAAAGCAUGGGUAGUAAACA
rnacentral:rRNA from 1 species